CCCGUUUGGUCACCGAAAACUGUGCCGAACUGCAAUCUUUAUCAGAUGGAUUUCGGAUUUUAUUUCUCACUUUACGGGUGUCAGAAAAAUAUGAAACUUUAAAUCUAGCCUCAUUAAAAUAUUUCUGGCAUCCCCGCCAAUUUUCAUAAUUUUCUGAGACUGUGCAUUUUCUGCUAAUUUUUCUGUCCCGUUUCCAACAGAAAAUUCUAGAUCUUCUGUUUUCAUCCCGAUUUCAGCACAAGUCACUUCUGACUUAUGUUUUACUUCUCUAAAUCCAAUAAAAUAGUAUCUCAUACUAUUUUUACUUAUUUUCACUUUUAUAUUAAAAAUCCGGUAUGUUACAUUCCACCGCAGCCUCACCGGAACCAUUUAAAUGGCUUUCCAAUCGAACGUACACUGUAACCUCAUGAUUUUCGAAGUCCGGUAUCUUACAGACAUAUCUGAAAACAUUAGAAUUUUUGUAGAAAUAAUUUAUGAAAGUUGAACUUUAUAGGGAUAUAUCUGCAAUUCACUAUAUUUGCAGGGACCCGUACGCAAUUAGUUUUUUAAAAAAUUAUAUUUUUUUGUCUUAAAAUUUUAAAAAUACUUUUUAAAAUUAUGCCGCAAAUAAAAAAGACAAAAUAAUCAAAUUAUACUUAUACUUAUUCUAAAAUUAACAGCUUUUUUAUUAAUCAAUUAUUAAAUAAUUAAUAACAUUCAUUUUUGCAUUAUU
rnacentral:lncRNA from 1 species